rnacentral:lncRNA from 1 species
GGAAAGGUCCAAAGCUGGCCAGGCCACCAGAGAGAGCAGCAGAAAGAUACACAUUCACCAGAGCCCAGCACUCUCCCAGGGCUUAUAAAUAAACAGGCACGUGGGAAACAAGGAUUCUUUCUCCAGGAAAUAUAAUUUAUGUUUACAGACAUAAAUUUCUUUUAAAGAUUAUCCUUCUUCCACUCAGUUGCUGUGCCCCUAACAGUGUCCCUGAGUUACCCCCAGCCCCCUCGGCCCCAGCAAUUAUCUUCCCUUUAUUGCGCUGAUGAUCCAGAUGUGGUCCUGGCCAAAGGGAAGGGGAGAGGGCAAGGGACCGGGGCUGCCCCUGGCCCGGGAGGGAGGCGGGGCCAGCUGGUCCCAUCCUCUCCUGCUCUAUAGCAGUUGUCCCAGAUGUGCCCAUGUAUGGGCAUGGAAAGAGCAGGCAGCCGGGGAGCGGCAGCAUCCCUGCCGGAUCGCCACCAUACAGAGAACCUUUCCGGGGGGCAAAGGGAGCCCGAACUGGAGGCCUGGCACAGGCGCAACAUGGCCAUGCCGGCUUCUUUUCAAACUUGACAGCUGGGAGGAACGGCUCCUUAUCGGGGGGCUGGGGGAGAGCCAGUGACACUCCAAACUCCAGAAGGCCAAGGGUUUGAGAAAAAUGGGGCAUGGGACUUCCUUUCCUUGUUGCUGAAUACUGGUUAAGCGGCAGGUCUUAAGACCAGCAGCCUGAAGAGGAAGACGGUGUCGAGGACCCGCGGGGGGCCCGUGACCGGGUUGUGGUCGUAGGAGAAGACGCGCAGCCCGCGCAGCGGCCGCAGGUCCGGGAAGCCGCCCAGCUGGUUGCGGUCCACGUCGAGGAUGCGCAGGCGGCCCAUGCGCAGCAGCACGUUGGGGAAGACCUCGAGCCGGUUGCCGUAGAGCCAGAGGCCGCGCAGGCCCACCAUGCUGGGCAGCUCGGCGGGCAGGCCGCGCAGCCGGUUGUCGCCCAGCUGCAGGGACUGGAGCGCCGGCAUGCUGAGCAGCGCGCGCGGGAAGCGCCGCACGUAGUUGCCCUCGAGCCAGAGGCAGCGCAGGCUCUGCAGCUGCGCGAAGUCGGCGGGCAGCCCCAGCAGCCGGUUGCUGCCCAGGUAGAGGCGGCUGAGGCGCGGCAGGCGGCACAGCGCCUCGGGCACGUGCUCCAGCUUGUUGAAGUCCAGCGCCAGGAUGCGCAGCUCGCGCAGCUCCUCGAUCUCGUCGGGCAGCUCGCGCAGGCCCGUGCCGCUGAUGUAGAGCCUCUGCAGGCCGAGCAGGGCGCACACCGAGGCGGGCAGGCGCCGCAGCCGCCGCCCGCUCAGCUCCAGCAGCUGCUCGCCGUUGCUCAGCUGCUCCGCCACGUCCGACGGCAGCUCGUCCAGCGUGGACUCGGCGAUGCCCAUCCUGCGCUCAUGGCCCCCGGGAGCAGCGGGGGCCGCCGGCGGCGGGCGCCCUGCCCGCGCUCGGGCCCCCGCCCGGCUGCCAGCCUCCCGCCCCCGCCCCGGCCCGGCCCGCGCUCCUCAGCGUCCGCCCCCCCCCCUCCCAGGCGGGCUCUCGCUGCCUCCUCCCGCCCCCGCCCCCGCCCCCCGCCGGAGACUGCCCAGCCCGGCUGUCCCUUCCUGACCUGGCUCCGCGCCAGGGAUGGGGCUGCCUUCCCUCUCCAGUCCUGUUCCACCAGAGCCCCCUGACAGAGCUCCGGCCCUCCCCUCCACCCAGGUCUCGGGAGGCUCCCGCCCGCCCAGGACCAGGUUGCGCCCACCUGUCCUAAUCCAGCUCUCCAAGCAGGGUUCCAGAAGCCCGCUCCGCCCUCCCAGUCAUCCCUCUCCGCCCCCGCCCCGAAGGAGCUUGCCCCCCUCCCGGUCCGAUCCAGCCCCCCGGUCCCAGCCCCCGGGACGGGAGGGGAGGCGCCGCCGGGCUGCCCGCCGCCAGUCUCCCGAUCGCCCUCCGGGACUCCCCCGCUCGCACUGUCUGACUCCGGUUCCCACAGACUUGAUGCUUAGCGACCCGUCGCCAUGGAAACCCCCCGACGCGGUUCCAGCUGCCAAUGAGAGGGAGGGAGGAAGAGAGAGGGGCGGGAGUUAGACUAGGGAAGGGGGGCGCCCCCUCCCGAGGGCCGGUCCCGGUCCCUGGGCACCGCCUCCCUGCCUCUGGAGCUGGAGGGAACCAGACCAGCAGCGCCCGGGCCCGCAGGUACCCCACGCCGCCCUACUCGCAUCCCUUCGAGCUCUGGCCUUCUUACCCACUCCUCCUCGGCGCGGUCCCUUCUGUAGUUUACAUGAAUCCCGGGCAUGGCUCAGCCAAGUAGCCCACGUGCCACUUGUCCCAGUCCGCCCUCCCCACCCCCUUCCUCUCCCAAUUACACCAGAGCUAAAAAAAAAUAAAUAAAUAAACUGACAAAUCGAUGAAUUCUCUCUGUAUUCAACUUCAGCCAGUUCCAGACAUCACCACAAUUAACCCGUAACGCUUCCUAGAACAUGGAAGUGCCUGAGCUUGGGAAGAUCUUAGAACAGAACAGCUUCCGGGGAGGUUCCUGAGGGCAAGGGUCCGGCCUUCAAAGGUCCGGGAUCCUAGGAGCCAAAAAGCAGAGAAGCUGAGGCUUCCCUUUGAGCUGGGUUCAAAUGCUGUCAUGUUAGAGCUGAGACCCUGGGUGCUAAUUCACUUGUCCCUGCCUCUGAGCUCAUCUGGGAGGGGAGGUUGUACUUGACUGGCACCCAGUGUCCCUUCAAACUCAGUAUCCC